rnacentral:tRNA from 1 species
GGGCGCGUAGCUCAGUGGCGAGAGCGUCUGCCUUACAAGCAGAAGGUCGGAGGUUCGAUACCUCCCGCGCCCACCA